UGGCGGACGGGUGAGUAAUGUCUGGGAAACUGCCCGAUGGAGGGGGAUAACUACUGGAAACGGUAGCUAAUACCGCAUAACGUCGCAAGACCAAAGAGGGGACCUUCGGGCCUCUUGCCAUCGGAUGUGCCCAGAUGGGAUUAGCUAGUAGGUGGGGUAACGGCUCACCUAGGCGACGAUCCCUAGCUGGUCUGAGAGGAUGACCAGCCACACUGGAACUGAGACACAGUCCAG
rnacentral:rRNA from 1 species